CACACUUCCCAGUUGUUGGUUAAGAUGAAGUGCAUUAGCUUUUCUUAUCACUUUAAUAUCUGAUAUAUCCUCAGCUUCAAGAUUUAAUAUUAAAUGGAUUUAGAGGUCACGGGAAGGAAUAAUCGCUUCCUCCAUCCACUCCCGAAACUGCAUCAACCUGAAAUUGCAGUGCUUUCAGGUACUGUGGCCAUAUUU
rfam:Colius striatus contig83197, whole genome shotgun sequence.